CACAGGCCUCAAUGUCUUCUGAAUUCAGAUGGCUCUGCAAGAAGAGGUGGAGGCUGCUAUCGGAAAGCAGAAGCGCGUUCUGUAGGACCCUGUGUGAAAGGGAAAAAGCAGAUCUAAUCAGAGGACAGGGAUGGACAAUUACAGGGCAGGAGACAGACAAACAUCAGAAGUAAUUUCUCGGCUGUGGCAAACUUUGCGUCAAUUACGGACUCUGCCUAUUAAAGGGAUGAAAGCAUAUGUUAACUUUUGAUUCAAUUAUUUGGAAAUUUGGGCACUCAGUUGAGCGGUGCCUUUUUUUGAACGCUUAAGAUUGACUAGAAGUUUCUCCAGGAUCUUCAGCAGCACUGCGUACCUAUGUUCAAAUGAGUCACUAAAUAAAACUGCUCCCGGCCAAUUUUGCCAUACGUGUAAUUAAAAUAUAAUUUUGUAGUAAGUCCACACUAGCGUUCCCACAUUCAAGAUCAAAGUUUACAAAGAGAGUACAGAUUUCAGCUAGUGCAUCAGAACUACGUGGAGAAUUAAAACCACCCUGUAGCAAAAUCGACACAGGCUCCAAUUCAUAUAUCGGUGGGUGUGUCUUUUUCUGAAACGCAUGUCUUAGAACAGGAGAGUAAGUCAAAGAACACCCUAUAUUUAAAUAAAAACUGGUUUUAUCUUUGAAGCAAAGAUUUUGGUGCAUGACAACUUAGUCUCUAUUCAUAGUCCAAUAAGGAUGUAACACGGGACACUAAGGUCAGAUGUAGGGGACAAAACUGAAACACGGCAACUCUACCCCAUGUGGGAUUUUUCAAACAGAUCUAUGAAAAAUAAACUUAUGUAUUUCGGCCCAAAUGAAAUGCACACAUAUCCUGAACUGUUUAAACAAGUAAUGAGAAAAAUAAAUCUCUUUUGGCCAUUCA